rnacentral:rRNA from 1 species
UUCCAGAGUACGGCCAGACACGUGAAACCUGGUCGGAAGAUGGGGGGACCACCCUCCAACCCUAAAUACUACCCAGUGACCGAUAGCGUAUAGUACUGUGAAGGAAAGGUGAAAAGCACCCCGGGAGGGGAGUGAAAAAGAACCUGAAACCCUGUGCCUACAAGCACCUAGAGCACGUCAAUGUGUGAUAGGGUACUUUUUGUAGAACGGUCCGGCGAGCGAUUGUAUGCAGCAAGGUUAAGGACUUAAGGUCUGGAGCCGAAGCGAAAGCGAGUUUGAAAAGGGCGUUAAGUUGCAUAUAAUGGGCCCGAAACCGGGUGACCUACCCAUGGUCAGGUUGAAGUGGAAGUAAAAUUCCAUGGAGGACCGAACCGACCUCCGUUGAAAAGGCGGCGGAUGAACUGUGGGUAGCGGAGAAAUUCCAAUCGAACCCGGAGAUAGCUGGUUCUCCCCGAAAUAGUUUUAGGACUAGCCUCAAGUUAGAUACCUGGAGGUAAAGCACUGAAUAGCCUAGCGGCCGAGAGGUUAGCGAAGCUUAUCAAACUCAGAAUGCCAGAGUAUUGAUGCUUGGGAGUCAGACAGUGUCAGAUAAAUGUCAUUGUCAAAAGGGAAACAGCCCAGAUCUACAGCUAAGGUCCCAAAGUCAGGUUAAGUGGAAAACGAUGUGAAGAUACGCAGACAACCAGGAUGUUGGCUCAGAAGCAGCCACUCAUUCAAAGAGUGCGUAAUAGCUCACUGGUCGAGCGUCUUUGCGCGGAGAAUUUAACGGGGCUAAACCUGACACCGAAGCUUAGGCAAUCCAGCAAUGGAUUGGGUAGGGGAGCGUUGUAUACGCGGAGAAACAGUAGCGUGAGCGGCUGUGGAGUGUAUAGAAGUGAGAAUGCCGGAAUGAGUAGCGCGAAUGCAGUGAGAAUCUGCAUGGCCGAAAGCCUCAGGUUUUUGGAGGAAGGUUCGUCCGCUCCAAGUUAGUCGGGAGCUAAGGUGAGGCCGGAAGGCGUAGCCGAUGCACAGACGGUAGAGAUUCCGUCACCACCAAAAGAGUUAAGCACAGGGACACAUUUGAAGUCUCAGAGCCGGGUGUUGGUUCCGGUAGAGAUCGAGGGAAAUUAGUACCGAAGUCUGGGAUGGAAGAUGGCGAGAAAAGCUGUGUGUAUUUCUGAGGUGCCCGUACCGCAAACCGACACAGGUAGGUAGGAAGAAGAUUCUAAGGCCAACGGGAGAAGGGUUGUUAAGGAACUCGGCAAAUUGACCCCGUAACUUCGGGAGAAGGGGUGCUCCAGAGAUGGAGCCGCAGAGAAUCGGCCCAAGCAACUGUUUACCAAAAACACAGGUUUGUGCUAAAUCGAAAGAUGACGUAUACGAGCUGACGCCUGCCCGGUGCUGGAAGGUUAAGAGGAGAUGUGCAAGCAUUGAAUCGAAGCCCCAGUGAACGGCGGCCGUAACUAUAACGGUCCUAAGGUAGCGAAAUUCCUUGUCAGGUAAGUUCUGACCCGCAUGAAAGGCGUAAUGAUUUGGGCACUGUCUCAACAGCCCGCCCGGCGAAAUUGUAGUACCGGUGAAGAUGCCGGUUACCCGCGACAAGACGGAAAGACCCCAUGGAGCUUUACUGUAGCCUAAUAUUGGGUUUCG